CGGUAAUCUGGUUCUUAGAUGUCGAUUAACAUUAUCUGCCAACAACAGAGUCACUAAGUUAUUCAUCUGUAUGUUCCAAGAGUCUAGUGCUGUGCCUGGCAGGCAGGCAAUAGACCAGUAAGGACCCUUUCUAAAGCUAUCUUAAGUCCGUUUGGAAGCAAGUCUUCAUCCAACAAGUUGGAGUCUGAAGGGUAAGUGGGCAUUAGGGAAAAAGAGGGAGGAGGCGAAGUUCGGGGAGGUGGAGAAGAACCUUCCAGACCUAGGGGACAGCGGGAGCAAAGGCCUGGAGUGAGGGGAGGGUGUGUAUGUGUGUGGCCCUGUGGCAGGGAAUGGGCUUCAGGGCCGUCUGCAGGAGCUGGAGGUCUUGGACAGAGUCAGAGGACGGGUCUCCUCCCAUUGGAGAAGGAGGGAGGAAGGAAAGCAGGCGAGUGUGUAAUCUGAUGUCAGAGCACCGAGAAGGCUUCCAUAGGAUGGCUUCUACUUUGUCUCUGAGGAGGGAAGGAUUCUUCUGAGUGGGAGGAGGGUGGGGGAGAGGGGAGAGGUUUCAGGAGAGAGGACAGGUUUGCAAUAACCCGGGAGGAGAAAGGAGACACAACUGAACUGGGGGGAGUUGGAAGGAUUUCUGAGUGGGGGUUGAGGGUCCGGUAGAGGUUGGAGACCACACGUUUCCAUUAGGGCAACGUCUGUGGUGGGUCAAGGAUUCGUCAGCACCCUGGUAGAGGUGGACUGAUGGAGUUUCAGCAGAUGGGAGGGAUGAAGAGACCAGUGGGACAAGGGCAGGGGCGAUAAUGGCACAGGUAAAGGACCAUGGAUGGGCUGGACAGAGUAGGGCAGAAGCAGGUUGGUCUGCAGGGGGAAAGCCCAGAAGGCAAUGGACUGGAGUUUCCGGACAAACGUGGUAGGCUAGCCUGGAGUUGCUGGAGGUAUCGGGGUGGUGGUUGGGGUGGGGGUCAUCGUAGCAGGGGCAGAUGUGGUUGAUAACAAGGGUCCAGAUGCCGCGGGGAAUGGGGAUGCUCAUGUGGAAAUGGGGGUCACGGAAGUGGUGCUGAAGGAAUUGCACUGAGGACACACAAGGCAGACAAGUGGCCCAACUCAACAGGUGCCCUAAAAGCAGCCACGGAGGUUCUAGGGCUCCCAGGAAUUAGUCCAGCAGCUUCUCCCCAACCGGGGUCACAGAGAGGGUGGGGGCCUGCCCCGAAGCCAGCAGGCAGAACGCUCUCCUGCCCGGCGCCCGCAGGCCAGGGGUCACCUCCCCCAGGAGAGGAGCCAGGAGGCCCCCCAACCGAGCGACCCGGCCGCCCAACCGGAAGCACGUGGCCCCCUCCGGCGCGGUUGCCGGGGAGACGCCGGCUGUUUACCAGCGGGACACGGCCAGGCGACCGCGGCGGAUGGACCAGCGGCGAGGUGAGCGCGCCAGCGCCCGGCGACGAGGCGGGCCUCCCCGGCCCCGACCCUGCGGCGACCUGGCGGCGCCCUCGGGGGAACAGGACGGGCCCCGGGGAGAAGCGGCCACUCCCGGGGCCAAGCCAGCCCGGCCCAGCUCACCGUUGGUGGAAUGGGACAACUCCCGGGAAAGCGCGGGCCGUGCCCUCCUGGCUGGGCAGUACGGACGGGGACGCAGACCCACAGGGACACACGGAGAGACCGGAACCAGAUCAGAGCCUCCCCCAGACCCAAGGCUCAACAGCUGUCUUCCGUCACUCUUGGUUCACUGAUGGGUUUUUUUCCAAGUAAUUGAAAUGAAUGAAUGAAUGAAUGAAUGAAUGAAUUGCAGCCAGCGCCCCUCUUCCCAUGCCAGAAAUCCAGAGGGAAGCCGCUAACUCCCAGCCAGUUGGCACUAAUUCUGGCACCCGGGGGAAGGGGGUGGUGGUGUGAAUGGCUUGGAUCGGGGAGCCCCAGGAAGUUUCAUCCGCGGCUUCUCUUUUCUCUUCUCCUGCUUC
rnacentral:lncRNA from 1 species